AGUGAACGCUGGCGGUAGGCCUAACACAUGCAAGUCGAACGGCAGCACAGUAAGAGCUUGCUCUUACGGGUGGCGAGUGGCGGACGAGUGAGGAAUACAUCGGAAUCUACUUUUUCGUGGGGGAUAACGUAGGGAAACUUACGCUAAUACCGCAUACGACCUACGGGUGAAAGCAGGGGAUCUUCGGACCUUGCGCGAUUGAAUGAGCCGAUGUCGGAUUAGCUAGUUGGCGGGGUAAAGGCCCACCAAGGCGACGAUCCGUAGCUGGUCUGAGAGGAUGAUCAGCCACACUGGAACUGAGACACGGUCCAGACUCCUACGGGAGGCAGCAGUGGGGAAUAUUGGACAAUGGGCGCAAGCCUGAUCCGGCCAUACCGCGUGGGUGAAGAAGACCUUCGGGUUGUAAAGCCCUUUUGUUGGGAAAGAAAAGCAGCAGGUUAAUACCCCGCUGUUCUGACGGUACCCAAAGAAUAAGCACCGGCUAACUUCGUG
rnacentral:rRNA from 1 species